rnacentral:lncRNA from 1 species
GGCCCUUAUGUGCCCCCACAGCCUUAUUAGGAACAGGAGGAGAAUCUCGUCCUAACAUGAGCAAAGUCGAAGGUCCGAUUUCUUAAAGACCGGAUGGGGGGAGAGGCCCUUACAAUGGUCCUUGUAUGCCCCCACAGCCUUGUUAGGAACAGGAGGAGAACCUCAUCCUAAUAUGAGCAAAGUCGAAGGCCCAAUUUCUUAAAGAUCGGAUGGGGAGAGAGGUCCUUGCAACAGCCCUUAUGUGCCCCCACAGUCUUGUUAGGAACAGGAGGAGAACCUUGUCCUAACAUGAGCAAAGUCAAAGGUCCGAUUACUUAAAGACUGGAUGGGGGGAGAGGCCCUCGCAAUGGCCCUUGCAUGCCCCCACAGCCCUAUUAGGAACAGAAGGAGAACCUCAUUUUAACAUGAGCUGAAAUCGACUGUCGGGAACAAGAGGAGAACUCCACCCUGACGCCAACAAAGGCUCGAUCGAUCAGGACUGGACAAGGAGGAAAGCCUCCUCAACGACCUCUCUACACUCUCACGAUCCCGUCAAGAGUAGAGGGAAGAUCCUCACUCGAACACAAAAAAAAAGGAGAGAUGAAAAGAGAAAGCGACGAACUACGCCAGCGAUAAGUGAAAAACGAACUACAUCAAAGGCUCAAGGGACCUCGUCUCAAUGAGGAAGAAAACCCUUGUCGAAAAUCUCCAGUCCCUAAAGGCGAACCAAUACAGCAAUGAUCAAGAAUCUUCAAACAAUAUCGACAUCUAACAGGACGAAAGAUGAAAGAAGCUCGGUAAACAACGACUCAAAACAAGAAUAGACGAGGUAAUGAGAAAAAUUCCAUUUCAUUUCAUUAGUAAAGCGUGCGUUAUGAAGCCUUUGAAGGUCGAGACUCAGGAGACCUCGUCUCAAUGAGGAAGAAAAUUCUUAUCGAAAAUUUUCGAUCCCAAAGGAUGAAUCAGCACAGCGACGAUCAGGAAUCUUCAAACAACGUCGACGUCAAACAGGACGAAAAAUAAAAGAAGUUUGGUAAACGACAACUCAAUACCAAAAUGGACAAAGUAAUAAAUAAUUUUAUUUUCAUUUCAUUGGUGAAGUACACGUUACAAAACCCUGAAGGCCAAAAAUAAAAAGAGAAACGACC